rnacentral:rRNA from 1 species
UACGAAGGGGGCUAGCGUUGCUCGGAAUCACUGGGCGUAAAGGGUGCGUAGGCGGGUCUUUAAGUCAGGGGUGAAAUCCUGGAGCUCAACUCCAGAACUGCCUUUGAUACUGAGGAUCUUGAGUUCGGGAGAGGUGAGUGGAACUGCGAGUGUAGAGGUGAAAUUCGUAGAUAUUCGCAAGAACACCAGUGGCGAAGGCGGCUCACUGGCCCGAUACUGACGCUGAGGCACGAAGGCGUGGGGAGCAAACAGGG